rnacentral:rRNA from 1 species
AUUGAACGCUGGCGGCAGGCCUAACACAUGCAAGUCGAACGAGUGGCGGACGGGUGAGUAAUAUCUGUGGAACUGUCCGAUGGAGAGGGGUAAAUACUGGAAACGGUAGCGAAUACCGCAUAUCAUCGGAUGUGCCCCGAUGGGAUUAGCUAGUAGUGGGGGUAACGGCUCACCUAGGCGACGAUCCCUAGCUGGUCUGAGAGGAUGACCAGCCACACUGGAACUGAGACACGGUCCAGACUCCUACGGGAGGCAGCAGGGGGGAAUAUUGCACAAUGGGCGCAACCCUGAUGCAGCCAUGCCGCGUGUAGGAUGAAGGUCUUCGGAUUGUAAACUGCUUUUGUCAGGGAAGCGUUACCUGCAGAAUAAGCACCGGCUAACUACGUGCCAGCAGCCGCGGUAAUAC